GCCUGGAUGGCCAAUUCUAUUGUAAAUUAACACUUCUAAUUCACCUUGAGAAAAGACCCUUUACAAUUAACUAGUGUUACGAGGAUAAACUACUCAAAUACACCCAACUUCAAUACAGCUCAAUUCAACCACGACAAAUGAGAACAAUUUGCUAGAAAUACAAAGCAAUGUGGUUGGUGUCAGCUACCUGAUAGCUUUGCUUGUGCCUGUUGUCAAAUUAUUAUUUUCUCCCUCGGCAAAUAUUAAAAAUUGCGGAUACUUACAGCAUACCUUAAGACUACAUGCCACUUACGUAUUUUCUAUCUACCCAAUUCAAAAUUCUUCUACUUAAUUGUGAUGUAGCGAUUAGUCCCAUGCUUGGCCCAGUGUUCCUUGAGAUCAACUGGAUUUGAGAGGUCGUAGCCUUCAGCAGCAAGCCUACUAAGUAGUUUGCUGAAGGCGCUUCCACUCAUCUUUCUUCCACCUACACGGGCAUGCCGCUUAUUUGGAACAGCAGGUAAUGGAUACACGGAUAGAGUGGUUGUGCAACAUGAAGACUGCCAUCCAC
rnacentral:misc_RNA from 1 species